rnacentral:misc_RNA from 1 species
CAGAGUUGUAAAACUCCCAAACCCAUGUGAACAUACCUGUUGCCUCGGCGGCCUACGCGGCAGCUACCCUGUAGCUACCCUGUAGUCCGCCGACGGAUUUUCAAAAACUCUUGUUUUCAGCUGUAUCUCUGAGAAUAAAACAAAUAAAUCA